AUUCGCUGAGGGAUGGGCCUGCGGCCUAUCAGGUAGUUGGUGGGGUAAAGGCCUACCAAGCCUGCGACGGGUAGCCGGACUGAGAGGUCGACCGGCCACACUGGAACUGAGACACGGUCCAGACUCCUACGGGAGGCAGCAGUGGGGAAUAUUGCACAAUGGGGGAAACCCUGAUGCAGCGACGCCGCGUGGAGGAUGACGGCCUUCGGGUUGUAAACUCCUUUUGUCAGGGACAAUGGUGAUGGUACCUGACGAAUAAGCCACGGCUAACUCUGUGCCAGCAGCCGCGGUAAGACAGAGGUGGCGAGCGUUGUUCGGAAUUACUGGGCUUAAAGGGCGCGUAGGCGGUGGUGUAAGUCUGGGGUGGAAUGCUACAGCUCAACUGUAGAGCUGCCUUGGAAACUGCAUUACUUGAGUCGGUGAGGGGAAGGCGGAAUUCCUGGUGUAGCGGUGAAAUGCGUAGAUAUCAGGAGGAAGGUCUGUGGCGAAGGCGGCCUUCUGGCACUUGACUGACGCUGAGGCGCGAAAGCGUGGGGAGCAAACAGGAUUAGAUACCCUGGUAGUCCACGCCCUAAACGGUGGGUAUUAGGUGUGGGGCCUUCAUGGGUUCCGUGCCGUAGCGAAAGCA
rnacentral:rRNA from 1 species